UGGCGAGUUGGACAGACACAUGCUUCAAGCUCUUCAGGUCGCUUUUCAAAGUUGAUUUUCCCACUGUAAUGAUGUCAGUCCCCUUCUGGUAUGACCCACAGUGACCAAGCACGAUCCUAAUUUAAAUAAAGUUGUUUCUCUCUCUCCCCUUCUGGCAUGACUUGAGCGAAAGAUACCCAUCGUGUAAAAGCCACCAUGGCUGGAAGUUACUUUCCGGCAGGUACUUCGAGAGCCCAGGGGUUGAAAAUGGAGCCAUGGCUUGAACCAACAACAGUACGGCUUAGUUACUUGG
rnacentral:lncRNA from 1 species